AUUGAACGCUGGCGGCAGGCCUAACACAUGCAAGUCGAACGCGUGGCGGACGGGUGAGUAAUGUCUGGGAAACCGCCUGAUGGAGGGGGAUCACCACUGGAAACGGUAGCUAAUCCCCCAUACUCUCAGAAUCGCCCAGAUGGGAUUCUCUAGUUGGAGGGGUAACGGCUCACCAAGGCGAAGCUCCCUAGCUGGUCUGAGAGGAAGACCAGCCACACUGGGACUGAGAAACGGCCCAGACUCCUACGGGAGGCAGCAGUGGGGAAUAUUGCACAAUGGGCGCAAGCCGGAUGCAGCCAUGCCGCGUGUAUGAAGAAGGCCUUAGGGUUGUAAAGGACUUUCAGCGGGGAGGCGUUACCGGCAGAAGAAGCACCGGCUAACUCCGUGCCAGCAGCCGCGGUAAUAC
rnacentral:rRNA from 1 species